rfam:Stegodyphus mimosarum contig49871, whole genome shotgun sequence.
GCCUUCGUGGUGUAUAGGUCAGCACGCUCGAUGCGUAACCGAGAGGUCCGUGGUUCAAUUCCCGGCGAAGGCA